GACGAACGCUAGCGGGAGGCCUAAUACAUGCAAGUCGAGCGGUAGAGUGACUUCGGUUGCUUGAGUGCGGCGAACGGGUGAGUAACGCGUACACAAUCUACCUUUAAGAGGGGAAUAGCCCUGGGAAACUGGGAUUAAUGCCCCAUGGCAUCACGAGACGGCAUCGUUUUGUGAUUAAAGCUGAGGUGCUUAGAGAUGAGUGUGCGUCUGAUUAGCUAGUUGGUGCGGUAACGGCGCACCAAGGCGACGAUCAGUAGGGGGCGUGAGAGCGUGGACCCCCACACGGGUACUGAGACACGGACCCGACUCCUACGGGAGGCAGCAGUAAGGAAUAUUGGUCAAUGGAGGAAACUCUGAACCAGCCAUCCCGCGUGCAGGAAGAAUGCCCUAUGGGUUGUAAACUGCUUUUAUCUGGGAAGAAAAGUCGGGAUUUAUCCUGAUCUGACGGUACCAGAGGAAUAAGCACCGGCUAACUCCGUGCCAGCAGCCGCGGUAAAGU
rnacentral:rRNA from 1 species